rfam:Picea glauca, whole genome shotgun sequence.
ACAUGCAUAUAUCAUAGGAUUAAUGAACCAGAUCCCACUAGAACUCUGCAGUUAAGCGUGCUCAGGAUAGAGUAGUACUUGAAUGGGUGACCGCUUGGGAAGUCCUAGUGUUUUACAUGCC